GCCUGGGUGGCUCAGUCGGUUAAGCGUCCGACUUUGGCUCAGGUCAUGAUCUCAAGUUUCAGGUUUGUGGGUUUAAGCCCCACUUCGGGCU
rfam:Felis catus isolate Cinnamon breed Abyssinian chromosome C2, whole genome shotgun sequence.